rnacentral:rRNA from 1 species
UACGUAGGGUGCAAGCGUUGUCCGGAAUUAUUGGGCGUAAAGGGCUCGUAGGCGGUCCGUCACGUCGGGAGUGAAAACUUGGGGCUUAACCCCGAGCCUGCUUCUGAUACGGGCAGACUAGAGGUAUGCAGGGGAGAACGGAAUUCCUGGUGUAGCGGUGAAAUGCGCAGAUAUCAGGAGGAACACCGGUGGCGAAGGCGGUUCUCUGGGCAUUACCUGACGCUGAGGAGCGAAAGUGUGGGGAGCGAACAGG